CACGCUGGCUUGCACACCGGCGAGAACACAUAAUCUCAUACUGCGUGAUAAUAUACCACGACUCGUCUUUUCAAUCCAAAUUACUGGGGGUCAAUCAGCCUUGGUGUGCGCAACAUCUUCUCCCAUCUCCGGGGGUGCAAACCCGCAGAGGAUAUUGGGGAAUAAAAUUCGGAAAACGCCCGCCCUCACCAAAAAAGGUUUUCGGCCUCUUGUGGGAAUUUUUCCGGUUUAAAAUUCCCCCUCAGGUUAUCGGGGGAGGCUGGACCCCAAAAGGAAUUAAAAGCCGCACAAGCCUGGGCCAACUGCCGAUUCGUGCAACCCGAAGAAAAUAACCCGGUUGGCCAUCCUUGACACCCCCAAUGAUAAGGCUUUUCCUUCUUGUGCAGAAUGAAAAUAGGGCCUGGGUUUUUUCAGUCCGUCUCCUGAGGUGUGGUUAAUCCCCCAACGAGCGCAACCCUUGAUCUUAGUUCCACCAUUUUUUGGGCACUUUAAAGUGACUGCCGGUGACCAACCGGAGGAAGGUGGGGGGGCGUCAAAUCAUCAUGCCCCUUAUGACCUGGGCUACACACGUGCUACAAUGGACGGUACAAAGAGCUGCAAGACCCCGAGGUGGAGCUAAUCUCAUAAAACCGUUCUCAGUUCGGAUUGUAGGCUGCAACUCGCCUACAUGAAGCUGGAAUCGCUAGUAAUCGCGGAUCAGCAUGCCGCGGUGAAUACGUUCCCGGGCCUUGUACACACCGCCCGUCACACCACGAGAGUUUGUAACACCCGAAGUCGGUGGGGUAACCUUUUGGAGCCAGCCGCCUAAGGUGAUACAUCG
rnacentral:rRNA from 1 species